GACGAACGCUGGCGGCGUGCCUAAUACAUGCAAGUAGAACGCUGAAGGAGGAGCUUGCUCUUCUGGAUGAGUUGCGAACGGGUGAGUAACGCGUAGGUAACCUGCCUGGUAGCGGGGGAUAACUAUUGGAAACGAUAGCUAAUACCGCAUAAGAGUAGAUGUUGCAUGACAUUUACUUAAAAGGUGCAAUUGCCUCACUACCAGAUGGACCUGCGUUGUAUUAGCUAGUUGGUGGGGUAACGGCUUACCAAGGCGACGAUACAUAGCCGACCUGAGAGGGUGAUCGGCCACACUGGGACUGAGACACGGCCCAGACUCCUACGGGAGGCAGCAGUAGGGAAUCUUCGGCAAUGGACGGAAGUCUGACCGAGCAACGCCGCGUGAGUGAAGAAGGUUUUCGGAUCGUAAAGCUCUGUUGUAAGAGAAGAACGAGUGUGAGAGUGGAAAGUUCACACUGGGACGGGAUCGUACCAGAAAGGGACGGCGAACUACGU
rnacentral:rRNA from 1 species